rnacentral:rRNA from 1 species
UACGGAGGGGGCUAGCGUUGUUCGGAAUUACUGGGCGUAAAGCGCGCGUAGGCGGAUCUGCAAGUCGGGGGUGAAAUCCCGAGGCUCAACCUCGGAACUGCCUUCGAUACUGCGGGUCUCGAGUCCGGGAGAGGUGAGUGGAAUUCCUAGUGUAGAGGUGAAAUUCGUAGAUAUUAGGAAGAACACCAGUGGCGAAGGCGGCUCACUGGCCCGGUACUGACGCUGAGGCGUGAAAGCGUGGGGAGCAAACAGG